rfam:Stegodyphus mimosarum contig163930, whole genome shotgun sequence.
GCCUUUGUGGUCUAGUGGUCAGCACACUGAGCGUGUAUUCAGAGGCCCAUGGUUCGAAUCCGGGCGAGGGUG